GCCUUGCUGUGUGACACAUAUGAAAAUUGGAACGAUACAGAGAAGAUUAGCAUGGCUCCCUGUGUAAGGAUGACACGCAUAUCUUGAGUGGAUGCCGGUUCGCCGGUAAUAUUUUUU
rfam:Rhizoclosmatium globosum strain JEL800 BCR33scaffold_15, whole genome shotgun sequence.